GAGACAGAGCUAGGAAAACAAUAAGUUCAAAACCAGCAUGGGCUAUCUGAGAAGAUUAAAAACAACAGAGUCUGAUACCUGGGUCUUUCCCAUCAGCCUUGGAGCACUUUAAAGGUUAAAGUGUCUUGGAAGCCAGAUGGAAUAUUUUCUCAUUUGAAGGAAAAGGAGAUGCCAAGAAAGUACAGUGUCAGGUAAACCCAGCAUUGCAGUUUGCCGAAGAGAAGAGACAUCUCUAACUGAGGAAGCGCUAAUGUCUUAGCAGGAAAACCGGAGUUCCAUGGAGGGAGAGCUGAAAGUCAUGUCUGAAAGACAGAAAGUGUCUAAAUGAAACAAAUGGAAGUCAUCAGAAACUAUGGCAUGUCUGCACACAGGGGACAACCACAGAGCCCAGUGGUCACAGACAGAAGAACUUGGAUAUUGCAAUAGAUGAUGUGGUAAUAGAUUGCAACAGUAAUUAUUGAGAGAAUAAACUCACGUUAAUGCAGUACAAUCUGGCUUUGAAUUCACUAUGUAGUCCAGACUAGCCUCCGAGCUGCAGUGAAGCCACUAGCCUCAACUUCCUGGAAGCUAUGACAGCUGACAGCCGGAGCGAGCAAAGCAUGCCUGCUUGUGAAGUGACUCUAAGUACAUGAUGAGCAAGGCUUGACCAGAGCACGUGGGGUCAAGUGACCUGGAGUUUGGACUUCUCAAAGAAGACUUGCCAUAUGCAGUAGGAUAUUCUGGAAAAGAAUCCCAAUGUAAAUUCAAAAUUUAUGCUUUACACAACCCUGUACUUUCUCUGAAAGUAACUAAACACAGCAGUUUACACCGUUUUGUACAUCAGUUUCAUGAGGUGGAAUGUUCCACUUGUUAGUGUGAAACCCACUGGGGAAGCCAGCCUAUAGUGUUACUGUCUAUAGUGUUGCUAGUGGUAGCUCAAGGUUUUGUUUGUUUGCUUGAUAAUAAAAAGUGGCAAUAAACAGAUCUAUC